GGCUCCUCUGCAGUCUUCACAUGCAGCUGCCCAAGAGCUGCCCUUGUUUCAGGCUGGGUUGUAGACUGGCAUGAUUUCAAAGUGUGUGUGCAGCUCCCUGGAAAACAGGUAGUCGCAAGUGCACUGCUGGUCCUUGACCUGGAGCUGCUGAGAGUGAUGUCCUUCAUCAACACUCUGGUCACAGUCAGUCAAGAUGUUCGAGGAAACUAGUCUUCUGGUGCUGUCACAGAGCUCGCACAACAUUGCAAUCAUCUAUCUGAUACUUUCCUCUAUGCCUACGAAGAAUUCUGUUACAUCCACGUAUCCAUUGGGAAUGAACUUUACUGUCACCUGGAAUUUCAGACUUGACAUACAACCUUCCAGCUCUCAGUGAAGUAAACGUUGCUUUCACUCUCUAUCUGAUUUCGUUAGUCCAACUGUCAGCAUGAUGACAGUCAGGUCUAGAGAAUGAGGAACAGGCAGUAAUGUACCGAGAUAUUUUUGUAAUCUUUCAACUUUUGUGGAAUGUGAUUUUGCAAAGUGUCAGUCUUAACAGAUUUGUAGGAAAAUGGCUCUGAAAUGCUGC